CCUACGGGAGGCAGCAGUGAGGAAUAUUGGUCAAUGGGCGCGAGCCUGAACCAGCCAAGUCGCGUGAGGGAAGACGGUCCUAUGGAUUGUAAACCUCUUUUGUCGGGGAGCAAAAGACGCCACGCGUGGCGUUCCGAGAGUACCCGAAGAAAAAGCAUCGGCUAACUCCGUGCCAGCAGCCGCGGUAAUACGGAGGAAGCGAGCGUUAUCCGGAUUUAUUGGGUUUAAAGGGUGCGCAGGCGGAAGAUCAAGUCAGCGGUAAAAGUGAGAGGCUCAACCUCUUCGAGCCGUUGAAACUGGUUUUCUUGAGUGAGCGAGAAGUAUGCGGAAUGCGUGGUGUAGCGGUGAAAUGCAUAGAUAUCACGCAGAACUCCGAUUGCGAAGGCAGCAUACCGGCGCUCAACUGACGCUCAUGCACGAAAGUGUGGGUAUCGAACAGGAUCAGAUACCCGGGUAGUC
rnacentral:rRNA from 1 species